AGCUCCAUGAAGGUAGAAAUGAUCUAGUUCACUGCUGUAUCCACAGCGACUGGAAUGGCACCAGACAUAUGCUUGAUACAGAUGAACGUAGCAACCUUGGAAAGCACAUCUUAAAGAUGGAAGAGCCACCAGAUGGCAGGAUCCUGGGUCCCUGAAUUACCACUUGGAAGAGAGCAGCACAUCAAUCAAGAAUACACAUUUGGACCUUUCUUGAAGAUAAGAAAUGAGGAGAAGCUGCUUCUUGAAGCUAUGGAGGAUUGUCCCCUUGGUGACCUGAAUGACAAAUGUGGGUAGCACAGGCAAUGGGAAAGUGAUCUGCCCUCCAGGAUGUCAGCAGAUGUCCUCCUGGAUACGUCAUCUGUAUUGCAUUAAAAACACAUGGAAGUUGUUUUCCACAGCUCAGAGCUCUGCCCCAAACUUGGCAC